rnacentral:rRNA from 1 species
GGAUUAGAUACCCGGGUAGUCCAUGCCGUAAACGUUGGGCACUAGGUGUGGGGGACAUUCCACGUUUUCCGCGCCGUAGCUAACGCAUUAAGUGCCCCGCCUGGGGAGUACGGCCGCAAGGCUAAAACUCAAAGGAAUUGACGGGGGCCCGCACAAGCGGCGGAGCAUGCGGAUUAAUUCGAUGCAACGCGAAGAACCUUACCAAGGCUUGACAUGAACCGGAAUGAUGCAGAGAUGUGUCAGCCACUUGUGGCCGGUUUACAGGUGGUGCAUGGUUGUCGUCAGCUCGUGUCGUGAGAUGUUGGGUUAAGUCCCGCAACGAGCGCAACCCUCGUUCCAUGUUGCCAGCGGGUUAUGCCGGGGACUCAUGGGAGACUGCCGGGGUCAACUCGGA